rnacentral:rRNA from 1 species
GAUGAACGCUGGCGGCGUGCCUAAUACAUGCAAGUCGAGCGAACAGAUGAGGAGCUUGCUCCUCUGACGUUAGCGGCGGACGGGUGAGUAACACGUGGAUAACCUACCUAUAAGACUGGGAUAACUUCGGGAAACCGGAGCUAAUACCGGAUAAUAUAUUGAACCGCAUGGUUCAAUAGUGAAAGACGGUUUUGCUGUCACUUAUAGAUGGAUCCGCGCCGCAUUAGCUAGUUGGUAAGGUAACGGCUUACCAAGGCAACGAUGCGUAGCCGACCUGAGAGGGUGAUCGGCCACACUGGAACUGAGACACGGUCAAGACUCCUACGGGAGGCAGAAGUAGGGAAUCUUCCGCAAUGGGCGAAAGCCUGACGGAGCAACGCCGCGUGAGUGAUGAAGGUCUUCGGAUCGUAAAACUCUGUUAUUAGGGAAGAACAAAUGUGUAAGUAACUAUGCACGUCUUGACGGUACCUAAUCAGAAAGCCACGGCUAACUACGUG